GGCUCUGGGGGGGGUACACAUCGCCCGUCGCUCUCAUUAUUGAUUAUUCUAUUUUAUUUUUUUUAAUUUAGCUUCAAUUUAGAUGAGAUAAGUCGUAACAUAGUAGAUGUACUGGAAAGUGUAUCUAGUAAGAGUUUCA
rnacentral:rRNA from 1 species